GGAUCCGGGCGCCGCCGGAAGAGCGAGCUGGCUUUUAACCAGUCGUAUCAGGGUUCGACUCCCUGCGGAUCCA
rnacentral:tRNA from 1 species